UAUGGAGUUGAAACAACAAAUUACUAAACUGUAAACAGUUAAUAUAAGAGAAAAAAAUAUUGUAAUCAAGAUAAAUGUUUUCAAAACGUGUGAUUAACUAGUUAAUUGUCUAUAAUCUGUUGACAGCCAUAAUCGUAUUCUGAUAAUACACGUUGGUGCUCAAAUAUUUUCAGAUGGCCCGUGCAAAGUCAUGCCACCAGUCUGAGGACAUCACUGGGAAUGGCACAUGGGACACGUGGCUUUCAACUCCAGCGAGACCCAAGUCGACUGGACCACAGCGGAAAAUGAUCCUUCCAGAGAAGAAGUUAUUUACUUCUACAACGAAUGGAAGAGUUACAACUUCCAGAUGACAGCUCGCCGCUCAUCCUUCUGGGCAACUUGAACAUCCGACAGAACUUAUGUGACCUACUGCGUUUAUUUUCUCCUUUAGCUCUCACUAACUCUAACUUGCCCCAGCACCUGUUGUGAUUUAUUCUAGCGCUUCCACAAUUGAAUUUUGCUUGGUAUUUCAUCUAACUUGCCCCAGCACCUGUUGUGAUUUAUUCUAGCGCUUCCACAAUUGAAUUUUGCUUGUUAUUUUAUCUAACUUGCCCCAGCACCUGUUGUGAUUAAUUCUCUCUCACGGUGUCAAGUGUGUACCUUGAUCUUUUUUUUGCUCAUUGCAGCCCUUCUCUGCAAGGAGUGCUAACAAUGCAUGGUGCUGUUCAUUAAGCAACUGGGUAAAGAGCUUGUAAUGCCACAUAUGAAAAAGCUCAUAAGCUCAUUUAUAAUAAAAUAAUAUAUAUAAUCUUG